rnacentral:rRNA from 1 species
GAUGAACGCUAGCGGCAGGCUUAAUACAUGCAAGUCGAGGGGCAGCACAGGUAGCAAUACUGGGUGGCGACCGGCAAACGGGUGCGGAACACGUACAGAACCUUCCUUUAAGUGGGGAAUAGCCCAGAGAAAUUUGGAUUAAUACCCCGUAACAUUAUGAAGUGGCAUCACCUUAUAAUUAUAGAUUUAUUGCUUAGAGAUGGCUGUGCGGCUGAUUAGGUAGUGGGCGGGGUAACGGCCCACCAAGCCUGCGAUCAGUAACUGGUGUGAGAGCACGACCAGUCACACGGGCACUGAGACACGGGCCCGACUCC